rnacentral:rRNA from 1 species
UACGUAGGGUGCGAGCGUUGUCCGGAAUUAUUGGGCGUAAAGGGCUCGUAGGCGGUUUUUCGCGUCGGGAGUGAAAACCAGGUGCUUAACACCUGGCUUGCUUUCGAUACGAGCAGACUAGAGGUAUUCAGGGGAGAACGGAAUUCCUGGUGUAGCGGUGAAAUGCGCAGAUAUCAGGAGGAACACCGGUGGCGAAGGCGGUUCUCUGGGAAUGACCUGACGCUGAGGAGCGAAAGUGUGGGGAGCGAACAGG